GUGUCAGCAGCCGCGGUAAGACGUAGGGGGCGAGCGUUAUCCGGAUUUAUUGGGCGUAAAGCGCGCGCAGGCGGCCAGGCAAGUCGGAUGUGAAAACACGAGGCUCAACCUCGUGCCUGCAUUCGAUACUGCUCGGCUAGAGGCAGGUAGGGGAGAUCGGAAUUCCCGGUGUAGCGGUGAAAUGCGCAGAUAUCGGGAGGAACACCGGUGGCGAAGGCGGAUCUCUGGGCCUGUCCUGACGCUCAGGCGCGAAAGCUGGGGGAGCGAACAGGAUUAGAAACCCUCGUAGUCC
rnacentral:rRNA from 1 species